rnacentral:rRNA from 1 species
CCUACGGGAGGCAGCAGUGAGGAAUAUUGGUCAAUGGACGCAAGUCUGAACCAGCCAUGCCGCGUGCAGGAAGACGGCCCUAUGAGUUUAAAACUGCUUUUGUACGGGGGUAAACGCAGAUACGCGUCUCUGUCUGUAAGUAUCGUACGAAUAAGGAUCGGCUAACCCCGUGCCAGCAGCCGCGGUAAUACGGAGGAUUCAAGCGUUAUCCGGAUUUAUUGGGUUUAAAGGGUGCGUAGGCGGUCGGAUAAGUUAGAGGUGAAAUCCCGAGGCUCAACUUCGGAAUUGCCUCUGAUACUGGUCGGCUUGAGAGUAGUUGCGGUAGGCGGAAUGUAUGGUGUAGCGGUGAAAUGCGUAGAGAUCAUACAGAACACCGAUGGCGAAGGCAGCUUA